rnacentral:rRNA from 1 species
GUAAGGAAUAUUGGACAAUGGACGCAAGUCUGAUCCAGCCAUGCCGCGUGCAGGAUUAAGGUCCUCUGGAUUGUAAACUUCUUUUAUAAGGGACGAAAAAAGGCUUUUCUAAGUCGUCUGACGGUACCUUAUGAAUAAGCACCGGCUAACUCCGUUCCAGCAGCCGCGGUAAUACGGCGGGUGCAAGCGUUAUCCGGAUUCACUGGGUUUAAAGGGUGCGUAGGCGGGCAGGUAAGUCAGUGGUGAAAUCCUAGAGCUUAACUCUAGAACUGCCAUUGAUACUAUCUGUCUUGAAUAUUGUGGAGGUAAGCGGAAUAUGUCAUGUGGCGGUGAAAUGCUUAGAUAUGACAUAGAACACCUAUUGCGAAGGCAGCUUACUACGCAUAUAUUGACGCUGAGGCACGAAAGCGUGGGGAUCAAACAGGAUUAGAUACCCGAGUAGUCC